UCAUCUGUGGAUGACCGAUCGCCUCUAAGCUCUCAUAUUCGCUAAUCACAGCAGUGUGUUUACAUUCGCCUUCAUCACCUUCCUGCGAGCGUUCAAUAUCACAACCGCAGUGCAAUAAUUCAGCAAAAAGGAGUGGGAAGGAGGCUAAUUUGUUUUUUUUAUUAUCCGUCUCAGUGACGGCUUACUGGGUGGGAUUUGCGCGGCCGUUGAAGAAAUCCUUCGAAUAAUAGCUAAAGUGUAUGCGUGUGUCGUUUUGCUGUACGUGUGGAUGCGUGCCAACGAAGCCGCGUCUCUCAUCUGACAGCGGCGUGAUAAACGUCACUUCUUCUCGUGUUUUAAUCAAGCUGAAAGACAAUGCGCCGGCAUCCCCGUGACACGCUCGCAUAUCCUCGUGCAUGUUUUCCUCGGCCGAUCUCAGUUGACUGGACGCGGAUCGAAUACGUGUGUUUAGUAACAGAAUGUAUCUUCCCACCCUGCAGCAGCGUCGAGUGCAGCUCUGUCCUGUUCAACCCACACACAAAAGUUGAUCCCCACGCGUUUGAUUUAGCAAAGAUAAUCACAAGGCCUGCAGCUCGCGGAGAGAAAGAGAGAUCAGUCUUAUCUCGCCCAACAGAUCCUCACACAGCAGGUUUAUCUAAACUCGCAGUUGAUUCAUCCAUCUGUGAUGAUUAUGAUUUUGUCAUCAUUCCUGGCUAUUCUUUUUAAAGCUCUGGGGAUAUUUGUGAAUUGAAGCCCACAUGAGGCGCUUGGCUGCGUGUACAUGAUUAAACUCCAUUCGUCUGACAUGGCUAAUGUAUCUUCUGCCCGCUGACAGGUAUCCUGCAUUGCGUUCCCAACUGAAACUGAUGGAGUAAGACUUAAACCGCCCGCAUUCAUCAGGAGCCAACUUCAAUUUACAACCCGUUAAAAGAAGAAAAGAGCGAUCUUUAUCUCGAGGACAAGAGGCAUUCUUCAGAGUUAAACAGACAAUGAGCUUCAGCCAUUUUGAGGCACUUGGAGGUCGUUUGUGGACCGCACGGAAAAUGAGAAGAUCAUGGUCAAAGUCAGGACCAUACCCACCUUUGAGGUCCCAACCGGUUGAGUGAUCUCCAGCAGCUGUGACAUCAGAAAGCGAUCAGCCCCCUGCUGCAGCGGCGUGACAUGCGAGAGCUGGACGCAUGCCGACCUCACCUCUACCUCCAACCGCAGCCGCUGUUACUAUGGCAGCUCUGCGCAGACAGACGCAGGACAUCUCCAUCCAUUCUUUGCGCUGCUCACGAAAGCUGCCGGUGUCUUCUUAAACUUCUUUUUAAAGGAUCUUCCGAAGUCAAAUGGCAGCUUGGGGUGAGGAAAACACUGACAUGGCAUGAGGCACUGAUGGAAAGCUCACUACUGAUUUCAUCUGAAGCGCUGGAAGGCCAGUGUCACAUAUUAGAACGUCCCAAAGGUCACUUCAGUCACCCGAUGGAGAGCAUCUCACUGACAGAUACUCGUCCACCCACAGACAAACCUCUGUUACUUCACUCCUUUUACUGAGGUGUGCAGCUAGCAUUUCCCAGCCAUGUUUUAAAACAUAAACGUGUUUCAGCAUGAGUUUUUGGGAGGACCUGUUUGCUCUGGAAGCAUCAUCUGAUUCGAUGGACACUGGACUAUUUUUGUCAAAUAUUAUUUCACUGUUUAGUAGAAGACUGUGCUUUUAGAUUCAGCACUGCAGUAAUGAAAAAAACAAACAA